rfam:Stegodyphus mimosarum contig75216, whole genome shotgun sequence.
GCCUUCGUGGUGUAAUGGCUAGCACACUGAGCCGGUAUUUCAGAGGUCCGUGGUUCGAUUCCCGGCGAAGGAA